ACGGAAGGCAGCAGUGGGGAAUAUUAGGCAAUGGGGGCAACCCUGACCUAGCAACGCCGCGUGAAGGAAGAAGGCCUUCGGGUUGUAAACUUCUUUUAUGAGGGACGAAGGAAGUGACGGUACCUCAUGAAUAAGCCACGGCUAACUACGUGCCAGCAGCCGCGGUAAUACGUAGGUGGCAAGCGUUAUCCGGAUUUACCGGGUGUAAAGGGCGCGUAGGCGGGGAUGCAAGUCAGGUGUGAAAACUAUGGGCUUAACCCAUAAACUGCAUUUGAAACUGUAUCUCUUGAGUGCUGGAGAGGUAGACGGAAUUCCUUGUGUAGCGGUGAAAUGCGUAGAUAUAAGGAAGAACACCAGUGGCGAAGGCGGUCUACUGGACAGUAACUGACGCUGAGGCGCGAAAGCGUGGGGAGCAAACAGGAUUAGAUACCCUGGUA
rnacentral:rRNA from 1 species